rnacentral:rRNA from 1 species
AGAGUUUGAUCCUGGCUCAGGAUGAACGCUAGCUACAGGCUUAACACAUGCAAGUCGAGGGGCAGCAUGAACUUAGCUUGCUAAGUUUGAUGGCGACCGGCGCACGGGUGAGUAACGCGUAUGCAACUUACCUAUCAGAGGGGGAUAGCCCGGCGAAAGUCGGAUUAAUACCCCAUAAAACAGGGGUCCCGCAUGGGAAUAUUUGUUAAAGAUUCAUCGCUGAUAGAUAGGCAUGCGUUCCAUUAGGCAGUUGGCGGGGUAACGGCCCACCAAACCGACGAUGGAUAGGGGUUCUGAGAGGAAGGUCCCCCACAUUGGUACUGAGACACGGACCAAACUCCUACGGGAGGCAGCAGUGAGGAAUAUUGGUCAAUGGCCGAGAGGCUGAACCAGCCAAGUCGCGUGAAGGAAGAAGGAUCUAUGGUUUGUAAACUUCUUUUAUAGGGGAAUAAAGUGGAGGACGUGUCCUUUUUUGUAUGUACCCUAUGAAUAAGCAUCGGCUAACUCCGUGCCAGCAGCCGCGGUAAUACGGAGGAUGCGAGCGUUAUCCGGAUUUAUUGGGUUUAAAGGGUGCGUAGGUGGUCUUUUAAGUCAGCGGUGAAAGUUUGUGGCUCAACCAUAAAAUUGCCAUUGAAACUGGGAGACUUGAGUAUGUUUGAGGUAGGCGGAAUGCGUGGUGUAGCGGUGAAAUGCAUAGAUAUCACGCAGAACUCCGAUUGCGAAGGCAGCUUACUAAACCAUAACUGACACUGAAGCACGAAAGCGUGGGGAUCAAACAGGAUUAGAUACCCUGGUAGUCCACGCAGUAAACGAUGAUUACUAGGAGUUUGCGAUAUAAUGUAAGCUCUACAGCGAAAGCGUUAAGUAAUCCACCUGGGGAGUACGCCGGCAACGGUGAAACUCAAAGGAAUUGACGGGGGCCC